rnacentral:rRNA from 1 species
UGCCAGACUCCUACGGGAGGCAGCAGUGGGGAAUAUUGCACAAUGGGGGAAACCCUGAUGCAGCGACGCCGCGUGAGUGAAGAAGUAUCUCGGUACGUAAAGCUCUAUCAGCAGGGAAGAAAAUGACGGUACCUGACCAAGAAGCCCCGGCUAACUACGUGCCAGCAGCCGCGGUAAUACGUAGGGGGCAAGCGUUAUCCGGAUUUACUGGGUGUAAAGGGGGCGCAGACGGCGAUGCAAGCCAGGAGUGAAAGCCCGGGGCCCAACCCCGGGACUGCAUUGGGAACUACCGGGCUGGAGUGCCGGAGAGGUAGGCGGAAUUCCUAGUGUAGCGGUGAAAUGCGUAGAUAUUAGGAGGAACACCAGUGGCGAAGGCGGCCUACUGGACGGUGACUGACGCUGAGGCUCGAAAGCGUGGGGAGCAAACAGGAUUAGAUACCCGUGUA